rnacentral:rRNA from 1 species
GACGAACGCUGGCGGCGUGCUUAACACAUGCAAGUCGAACGCUGAAGCUCAGCUUGCUGGGUGGAUGAGUGGCGAACGGGUGAGUAACACGUGAGUAACCUGCCCUCUUCUUUGGGAUAACGCCCGGAAACGGGUGCUAAUACUGGAUAUUCACUGAUUCUCGCAUGGGGGUUGGUGGAAAGGUUUUUUCUGGUGGGUGAUGGGCUCGCGGCCUAUCAGCUUGUUGGUGGGGUGAUGGCCUACCAAGGCUUUGACGGGUAGCCGGCCUGAGAGGGUGACCGGUCACAUUGGGACUGAGAUACGGCCCAGACUCCUACGGGAGGCAGCAGUGGGGAAUAUUGCACAAUGGGCGAAAGCCUGAUGCAGCGACGCCGCGUGAGGGAUGGAGGCCUGCGGGUUGUAAACCUCUUUCGCUCAUGGUCAAGCCGCAGCUUUGGGUUGUGGUGAGGGUAGUGGGUAAAGAAGCGCCGGCUAACUACGUG